rnacentral:rRNA from 1 species
AGUGAACGCUGGCGGCGUGCCUAACACAUGCAAGUCGAACGGAGCGGCGCACGGGCGAGUAAUGUAUAGCUAAUCUCCCCUACACUAGAGGACAACAGUUGGAAACGACUGCUAAUACUCCAUAGUGUAGGUUGGGGCUUUAUUGUAUCAGCUAGUUGGUGAGGUAAUGGCUCACCAAGGGUAUGACGCAUAACUGGUCUGAGAGGAUGAUCAGUCACACUGGAACUGAGACACGGUCCAGACUCCUACGGGAAGCAGCAGUAGGGAAUAUUGCUCAAGGGGAGAGACCCUGAAGCAGCAACGCCGCGUGGAGGAUGACACUUUUCGGGGCGUAAACUCCUUUUGUUAGGGAAGCGGUACCUAAAGAAUAAGCACCGGCUAACUCCGUGCCAGCAGCCGCGGUAAUUG